CUUCGUAUCUGCAAUGCUCGCAUUGGUUGCUUACAGUUUUAUUCAACUAUUCUCCCUGUCGGGCCUUGGAGUAUUCGAUUUGAUGUCUCGGUUACACUGCGUUGAGUUGCUGAUUAUAGGAUUGACUUCAAGGAUAAAUAGAAGCCGGUGGCUUCUGAGGGCCAUCUUGAUCUGAACAAAGUGCCCAGCAUCACUUGCACAGGCAUACAACUGGAACAUACCAAGGACUGCUCAGGGUUCCUAGCUCUUCGUAUCAUAACAAUUGCACGACCGCUUACUCCUUAUGAAUCAGUGGUUGAUGGUUCUGCUGGAUCUCGCAGAACACGUAUGACAUACUCGUCAACAAGUGAUUGCCGUUAAUGAAGAUCACGGUGAAUCGUCACGCGAAGGACGACGUUGAGAUGGUGAUGCACUGGGACAACAUCGGCCUCCAUGCUGGCACAACUGACGUGGCAAUGGAAGAUUCGUACCUGAUGCUGGAGUUGCCGGAGGUUGGAGACGACGGACCCGGAGUAGGUAGCGGGCAAGCUGGCAUGGUGGCACAUCCGACACCUUGGCGGCGGGAAGCGGGAGCUUCGGCACCUUGGCUGCGGGAAGCGGCGGCUCCAGCAACUCCAACAGCGACAGCUCCAGUACCUUGGUGGCCGGAAGAGGUAGCUCCGGCACCUUGGCGGCGGGAAGCGGGAGCUUCGGCACCUUGGCUGCGGGAAGCGGCGGCUCCAGCAACUCCAACAGCGACAGCUCCAGUACCUUGGUGGCCGGAAGAGGUAGCUCCGGCACCUUGGCGGCGGGAAGCGGGAGCUUCGGCACCUUGGCUGCGGGAAGCGGCGGCUCCAGCAACUCCAACAACGACAGCUCCAGUACCUUUGUGGCCGGAAGAGGCAGCUCCAGCACCUUGGCAG